CGUGGCUGAUCGGUAAAGCGCUUGUCUUCCGAACCAGGGGUUCCGGGUUCGAAUCCAGGUG
rnacentral:tRNA from 1 species